GCGCUGGUAGCUCAGUUGGAUAGAGUACCUGACUACGAAUCAGGGGGUCGAGGGUUCGAAUCCUUCCCAGCGCGCCA
rnacentral:tRNA from 2 species